rnacentral:rRNA from 1 species
CCUAAUACAUGCAAGUCAGAACAGAACUCUGGUAUUGAUUGGUGCUUGCAUCAUGAUUUACAUUUAGAGUGAGUGGCGAACUGGUGAGUAACACGUGGGAAACCUGCCCAGAAGCGGGGGAUAACACCUGGAAACAGAUGCUAAUACCGCAUAACAACUUGGACCGCAUGGUCCGAGCUUGAAAGAUGGCUUCGGCUAUCACUUUUGGAUGGUCCCGCGGCGUAUUAACAAGAUGGUGGGGUAACGGCUCACCAUGGUAAUAAU